rnacentral:lncRNA from 10 species
UUCUGUAAGGGCUGGUGAGCGGGAGAUCAGAGGCGCAGAGGCAGGAAAAUGUGUCUAUGUUUAAUGAAGCUGAGGGAAAAUUUAGGGCCACGUUGGACAAGAGAAAAAUGUGAAUAGUCUUUCUUUAAAAGUCAUUGCGAAAAUCCUGCUUCCCUCAACCUUCGCAGACCCCAGAGAGACUUUUUCAGUCGACAGUCUCUAGAAAUAUGUGGGCAGUUCCUGAUAUUCAUGGAGGUAUGCUUUGUGUAUUAAAGACACGCCUGUUUGUCCAGAUGAACUGCUUUUUCGCCUCAAUCAGAAAAAGGAUCUUGGAGUUUUCAUGGUCAUAGCUAAAAUACACCCCCAAAUUCACCAUCAACUUUGUGCCUACCACCUGGACUGAAGCUUAGUGUGCCCUGAUCAAGAAGGUGAAAUCUUUAACUUCUAGGCAUUUACACUUUACUGGGGAAGACAAAUGAAGAAACAGGUAAUUACCAUAUAAGGAUUAACUAGUCUAUAAUGUGGUAAAUUACUAGUUUAUUAUUAGUAGGUGCUAUGGAAGAACAUAGGAGGGCCACAUAACCCAAAUUUGGUAUCAAGAACAAUUUACUAGAGGUAUUAAUAUUUGAGAGACAAGUUUAUAUGAAUGAUAGCAGGAACAACGGAAAAUAUGCCAGGAAAAAGGAACAGCAAGUCCCACUACAUGAAAUAAUUAUGAUUAAAUAGUGAAACUCAAAUAUGAAAUGGAAACAGUAGGAGAAGACCUUUAAAAUCAUGCUAAGAAAUUUGUAUUAAAUGCAACAGUGAUCCAUCGAUGAGUUUUAAGAAAAGAAAUGAUACAAAUGAUCUGAUUUACACUGUAGAAUUAUCACUCUGGCAGUAGAAAGGGAAAAUAAAUCUGAGGGGGCCAAUUCUAGAGACAUGGAUAACCAUUUAAUGACUUUUGCAGUAAAUCAGGCAAGAGGUAAAAGGUAAUUUGUUAUGCAAAUUUUGGGUUUCUGGUCAAUCAAGUGCUUAAAAUUCAGGACUGCCAAGGGUGACUACAAUUUUGAAUCCAUUGCUCUUCUAUCAGCUAAAUAUCCACGGGGACCUCUCUUUUCCCUUCCCUUCACUAUUCUUCCUCUAUUCUGAACAAUGCAGUCAUAAAGGCAUUUGGAGGCAGAAAGUACAUUCCGCUGUUGUUGGACUGAGUGUUUCAUCAUGCCAAUUAAGCCCUGUUGGUUGGUUGUUAUUUUUGUACAAGCCUUGCGUAUCCUUAACUGAUUUACUGCUUACUAUUUCUAUAGAACAUGGAGGGAAGGGUGUGGAAAUCAUCAAUAAUAACUGAGGAUGUGUCUAUUACUCUUCACACUUCUGCAAGUGUUUGCUUCCUGUAUAUUAAACCUCUUUUUUAGAGGUGCAUAAACCUUUAGGAUUUUUUCUGACUUUCCCUCCAAUUUUAUUUCUCUUUUAAGGAUUCCAGUUACAUGCAUAUCGGGAUAUUCAAGCCUGACGCUAUGUUCCUUAGCACCUUUUGAGGAUUUUAUUAUCUCUUUUAAUGGUAGAAUUUUUAAAUGUUUUUCUGAGUUUUGUUUUGUUUGUUUACAAUUUUUUUCUUUUUUUGAGUUCACAAAUGUUUUCUGUUAUAACAUCUAAUCAGCUGUUAAUUCUGCCCAGUGCACUUUUCAUUUAUGUCCUGUGUUUUAUCUUUUUUUUUAUCUCUAGUAUUUUGAUUGGGCAUUUUUGUUUGUUUGUUUGUUUUUUAUCUUUCAUGUCUCUACAUGCUCAACUUUUCUUUUCACUUCUUAGCCUAAGGAAUAGGGUAUGAACACUAUUAUAAUGCCUUUAUUAUUCUAUCAUUCAUAUCAUAGUUCAGUGAUUGAUUUUUCCCUCUAUGUAUAAAUCGUGUUUUUGUUGUUUUUUGUUUGUUUGUUUCUUUGCAUGCCUAGUAAUUUUCAUUAGAUUACAACUAUUGUGAAUUUGUUCCUUGCUUGGUUGUUGGGUACUGUUAAAUAAAUAAUCUUGAACUUUGUUCUGGAAUUCAACUUACUUAAAAACAGUUUGAUUUUUUUUGAGGCUUGCUUUUAAGCUUUGUUUUGUAGGAUUUUAUCAACCUCCAACCUAGGGCCGAUAUGGUUUGGCUGUGUCCCCACCCACGUCUCAUCUUGAAUUCCCACGUGUUUGUGGGAGGGACCCGGUGGGUGCUAAUUGAGUCAUGGGGGAAAGUCUUUCCCAUGCUACUUUCGUGAUAGUGAAUAAGCCUCAUGAGAUCCGAUGGUUUUAAAAAGAGAAGUUCUCUUGCACAAGCUCUCUCCCCUUUUGCCUGCAGCCAUCCAUGUAAGCUAUGACUUGCUCCUCUUUGCCUUCCACCAUGGUUAUGAGGCUUCACAAGUCACAUGGAGUUAUGAAACCUCUUUCUUUUGUAAAUUGCCCUGUCUCGGGUAUGUAUUUAUCAGCAGCAUGAAAAUGGACUAAUACAGAAAGGAAAUUGCCUUUCCACUGCCUCUUUGUUCUAUCAGGGCCCCUGACCAAAUGGACAGGGUCCAGCAACAUCAAUGUUGGAUUUUCCCCACUCGGUUCACCAACUCACAGCAGUUUUCUCUGGAAACACCCUCACAGACACCCCCAGAAACAAUGCUUCACCAGUUCUCUAGGUAUUACUUAACCUGGUCAGUUUGACACCUAAAACUAACCACCAGUGGUGUACUCUAUAAAUCUCUAGACCUCUCUGUUUCAUUGGGAAACUCCCUUCUCCCUGGUACCCUACCCUAAGAAGUCCAGGCACCUUAUCUGCUCUGUGCUCCCAACUCCAUCUCUUCCAUUUAGGAAGGUGGCCAGGCUUCCUCUACAUUAUCCUCCUGGUGAACAGGAAACCUCCUGCAGUAACCUGAAAAAUUGUAGGGCUUGUCUCAUUUGUUGAUCUUCUUUCAAGGAUCGCUGUCUUGCAUUGACUGAUUUCCAACUAUGUUGUUUAUUUAGUUCCUUCAGGAACUAUGGAGUCAGCACGUCUCCUGAUAGGACCACCACCUUCAUGAUGAAACACAAGCUCAGCAGCAACUGGAGAAGAUGCUAAAGCCGUCUGUGGAAUUAGAGUGGCCUCGACCUUCUUCUCACCUCAAAUUUCAUGUGCAGAUCUUCAGUGAGAGCUUAACCAUCACUCAGUUGUCAAGGAAACCUGGAAAUGUAAUUUGUAAGUGUCUUAGUCAGUUUUCAUGCUGCUGACAAAGACAUACCUGAAACUGGAAAGAAAAAGAGGUUUAAUUGGCUUAUAGUUCCACAUGUCUGGGGAGGCCUCAGAAUCAUGGCAGGAGGCAAAAGUCACUUCUUACAUGGUGGCAGCAAGAUAAAAAUGAGGAAGAAGCAAAAGUGGAAACCCCUGAUAAACCCAUCAGAUUUCAUGAGACUUACUCACUAUCAUAAGAAUAGUAUGGGAAAGACCGGCCCGCAUGACUCAAUUACCUCUCCCUGGGUCCCUCCCGCAGCACGUGGGAAUUCUGGGAGAUACAAUUCAAGUUGAGAUUCGGGGAUGUGGCGGGGGUGGGCUACAGCCAUACUAUGCAUACAGCCAUACUAUAUGAGUAAGUGUAUAUGAGUAAGUGUGCAGACCCAGGAAGUUUAUAGAAGUGUAUACAUGAGCUGAAUAUCAAUGAACAGUAAUGGACCAUGUGCUGUCUGCAUACUUUGCACAAAAUGCCUAUCUGGGCAACUUAAUUAUGCUGCUUUUACUACUUUGUUUUGCUGAUAUUUUCAGCAAAUCUUAAGGUUACAUAACAGCAAUCAAUUAUCUCUAAUAGUACUUCCAAAUUUGAUGGGCAACAGUAUUAGUGCUUUGUAAUGUAUUUUUGAUUUGACUUCAAUAUAACAUUUGGAAAAGUCGCUGGAAAAAAUUAAUUCUUAUUUGAAUACUAAGCAUAUAUAAAAUAUGUAACAUAAGAUUUGACUCUAAUCUCAUCAACAAUCUAGUUUCUACCAAUAAAAAUCACACAUUAUUUUCCUCUUUCAAGUGCCCCACUGAUGCCUAUUACUAUGAGGAUAAAAUCCAAAGUUCCUAUCAUGGCAUGCAAGAAAGCACAAUGCCUGAGUCAGCAGAAAUCUCUAAUCCCAUAUGGUACCCUAACCAUCUCAUUUACCAUGCCCUCUUUCAGCUCCCACAUGGUAAGCCAAUUUGUAGGGGCUUUUUCCUCCAGAGUUCUGCUCAAUACUCGUAUGAUUUUUUCUUGAUUUUUGGCGUUUCUGGGUCCUACUCAUAUAUUAAGUGUUGGUCAUAUACACUCUUUCAGAGAGGUCUUCCAACCAAUCUCAUUUAAAUGAAAGCCCAAUUUCACCUCCAGAGUUUCUCUAGUUUAUCAUUCAGCCUUUUUUUUCUUGUAGCACUCAUCAUUAUCUGAUUUACAUUACACAUUUUUGCCUACAUUUUUGCUGUCUCUUUCCUUACUGUAAUGUAAGUACCACAAUGGAAUGUUUCAUUUCUCUUGAUAAUUGCAGUUUCAAGUAUAUACAAAACACUCUUGUUGCAGGAAAUCCAUACAUAGGUAUGAACAAUGAUUUAAAGAGUCAAUGAAUAUUUGAUCCUCACCAUACCUACACAUACCCAAAUGUAGAUGUGAUAGAUACAGCAAGCUGAAUACUCACAAUCCAUUUUCUCCUCCUUCCUUUCUUGAAAUAAUUGGUUACCGUGGUAAUGAUUUUAGCAAAAUAAGACUUAAUUUCCCAGUUAUCUUUGCAGUUCUGGUUAUGUUCCACAAUUCAGACCAGUGAGGUGUGAGUGGAAACCUGUAUCUGUUUUCUCAAUUUCUUAUCAUAUGCAGUGAAAAUGGGAACAUUUCAUUUCCUUACGAAGAGGUACCUAUUCCUCUUUGUUUCUUCCUUUGAUAUCUUCCUAUCUGAUCUAUAAAUGGCAGGUUGGAUGAUAUGAUAUAAAUAGCAAUAUGUCUAAGGUCAGUCACCUUCGCAAUAGCUGAGUGACAACUUAAAUCUAUGUUUUCCUGCUCCAAUUUUAUAACAAGCAUAAACAUAUACAUCAAGAUUCAUCCUCACUACUGGAAACUUUCUCUGUCAAUUGCAUGGAAUAACAAGAAUCUGAAGAAUAGAGUAGCAUAUCCUGCAGACUAGAUCACAGAACCCAUUCAAAGCCCCUUCCCCUUGCCUUCACUUAUCAUAGAAAUUAUAAAACUAAAUCAAACAGCUUUUUAGACUCCUUUUCCAAACAGAAGUGGUUAUGUGAAAUGUACCUGGCUGAACCGCUUUAAGGGGAGGUUUCUGGGGUUGGCUACCUUUCCUGUCAAAGAUACAAAGACUCACAGCAAAAGGUAUUAAGCAUUUUCAAAAAAAUUUUCUGUUUGAAGUGGGUGAACAACUUCUAAAGGUGUAGCAUUCAUUAUGUGACUAGGACGAUGCCCUAGAUUGAAUGUGUGCAUCCUCCCACAAUUCGUAUGUGAAGACAUAAAACUCCAAAGAUGAUGGUAUUCAAAGGUACAAUCUUCGGAAAGUGAUUAGUGCUCUUAUAGUAGAGAUCUUCAAGAGUUCCCUUGUUCGUCCACCACAUGAGGACAUGGUUAGAAACCAGCUGUCUAUAAGCCAGACUUCCCAGCCUCCAGAACUGUGAGAAAUAAAUUCCUCUUGUUUAUAAGCCAGUCAGUCUAUGGCAUUCUCUUACAGUAGCUUAAACAGACUAAGACAGAGGACGAGGGCCACAAGGUCAGGAGGGCAGGGCAAAAAGAGAGAGUCCAGGUCCCUGGUAGCAUUGUUACUUUGCUGAGCCCUGACCUGCAAACCUACAAAACUUUUUGUUAGUUUUAUAGAAGAAAACGGGUCCUUUAAUUGUUUCAGCCAUUCUUGGUUGAGUUUUCUGUUAUUUACAGCUGAACUAAAUCUUAACUGAACCAGAGUUCAUACUGAAUAUGACGUAAAACAGAGGUCAGCUACCUCUGGCCUGAGCACUCUAUCGAGCUCAUUGUCUGUACUGUUAAAGAAAGUUUUUCUGGAAUACAGAACACAUUUACAUGAAAUCUUGGGCAUUUUGAAAAUUUCUGAGAUCUCUUAAAUGAUUAUGAAAGAAAAGUGUGAAGUACUCAACAAUAUGAGCACUUUUAGACACAUAACCUUGAACUUCUCAUUAUAUCACCAAUAGAACUGGGUAACCCUGAAUGUCUAGGUUUCUUAGUGUCUUGAUCUGUGUUAACAAAAAUGCACUAAAGCACUAAAAUAGCUUUUUUAGUUAUCUAGGAAAAGUCAGAUCAUCUUGGUGAGCAGGAGGUAUAUGGCAGUUUAUGCAUUUCUCCUGUUAAUACUUGUAAAACAGUUUGAGAGUGCUGAGUGCUUCCAAAGCCUAAUGCUGGGCUUUUAAUUUUCAGCCAUUUAUGCCGAUCCAGGUAUACGUUUGGAAAGUGAAAAGAAGUAAAUAAGUAAAUAAUAGUACAUAAAUAUAUAGGAAAUUGGAAAUGAGACUCUAAAUUCAUACAAACACUAAAAACUGAUCAAUAGAUGAUAAGCAGCAUUUGUUCUGAAGCUGGAAUUCAAUUGCUAAAGCAGUAUCUAAAUGUAUUACAUGUCUCUGCUAGACAGUCUCCAAAGAUGGCCAUUUUCCCCUUCUUCCCUCCCCGCAUGUGGAGUUUGUGUAUUCCCCCUUAACCUUAGUCUGCCCUUUGACUUGCCUCUACUAAUACAAAGCAUUAGAAAUUAUAAUCUUGUAGUUCUAGGCUUACCCUUUAAGAAGCCUGUCUGCUUUCUUCUGAGGAGAUGUCUUCUACAAUGUAAGAAAUCCAAAUCCCUAGAGACCCCCAUAUUGUAAGGAAGACCACGUUCACCCUGUGGAAAGAUCACAAAUGGAGAAGAAUUAAGAAAUGCAAAGAUCGUGUGUGAAGAAGAAUUGAGAAAUGCAAAGAUCAUAUGUGGAGAAUAACUGAGAAAUCUAAGAUGUGAGACAGCCAGAAUCAAGUUCCUGGAAAUAUGACCCCAGUCGAAACCUCCAUUUAGCUUCCAGGCAUUUGAACCAUCCAGCUGAGGUCUGAAGUCAUAUAGCUGAGAGAGUGACCUUCUUUGCCCUGUUCGAAGUCCUCACCCGAAGACUCAUGAGAAAAUCAAUGGAUGUUCUUUUUUUUUUUAUACUUUGAGUUUUAGGGUACAUGUGCACAACAUGCAGGUUAGUUACAUAUGUAUACAUGUGCCAUGUUGGUGUGCUGCACCCAGUAACUCAUCAUUUAACAUUAGGUAUAUCUCCUAAUGCUAUCCCUCCCCCCACCCCAUCACAGGCCCCAGUGUGUGAUGUUCCCCUUCUUGUGUCCAUGUGUUCUCAUUGUUCAAUUCCCACCUAUGAGUCAGAACAUGCGAUGUUUGGUUUUUUGUCCUUGCGAUAGUUUGCUGAGAAUGAUGGCUUCCAGCUUCAUCCAUGUCCC